AAAAAGACAAACACUGGGUUUCUGUGUCCAACGUUUGACCGUCCGUCUUAUUUGAAAAAAAUAUGAAAAAAAUUAAAAAAGAUAAGUCACACAUAAAAUAUUAAUCAUGUUUUAUCAUCUAACGACAAUGAAAAUACUAAUUAUAAAAAAAAUUCAUAUAAGAUGGACAGUCAAACGUUGGACACGGAAACCAAGAUUUGUCUUUUUU
rfam:Oryza glaberrima chromosome 7 Oglab07_0002_27, whole genome shotgun sequence.